rnacentral:rRNA from 1 species
GAUGAACGCUGGCGGCGUGCCUAAUACAUGCAAGUCGAGCGAACAGACGAGGAGCUUGCUCCUUUGACGUUAGCGGCGGACGGGUGAGUAACACGUGGGUAACCUACCUAUAAGACUGGGAUAACUUCGGGAAACCGGAGCUAAUACCGGAUAAUAUUUCGAACCGCAUGGUUCGAUAGUGAAAGAUGGCUUUGCUAUCACUUAUAGAUGGACCUGCGCCGUAUUAGCUAGUUGGUAAGGUAACGGCUUACCAAGGCAACGAUACGUAGCCGACCUGAGAGGGUGAUCGGCCACACUGGAACUGAGACACGGUCCAGACUCCUACGGGAGGCAGCAGUAGGGAAUCUUCCGCAAUGGGCGAAAGCCUGACGGAGCAACGCCGCGUGAGUGAUGAAGGUCUUCGGAUCGUAAAACUCUGUUAUUAGGGAAGAAUGAACGUGUAAGUAACUGUGCACGUCUUGACGGUACCUAAUCAGAAAGCCACGGCUAACUACGUGCCAGCAGCCGCGGUAAUACGUAGGUGGCAAGCGUUAUCCGGAAUUAUUGGGCGUAAAGCGCGCGUAGGCGGUUUUUUAAGUCUGAUGUGAAAGCCCACGGCUCAACCGUGGAGGGUCAUUGGAAACUGGAAAACUUGAGUGCAGAAGAGGAAAGUGGAAUUCCAUGUGUAGCGGUGAAAUGCGCAGAGAUAUGGAGGAACACCAGUGGCGAAGGCGCCUUUCUGGUCUGUAACUGACGCUGAUGUGCGAAAGCGUGGGGAUCAAACAGGAUUAGAUACCCUGGUAGUCCACGCCGUAAACGAUGAGUGCUAAGUGUUAGGGGGUUUCCGCCCCUUAGUGCUGCAGCUAACGCAUUAAGCACUCCGCCUGGGGAGUACGACCGCAAGGUUGAAACUCAAAGGAAUUGACGGGGACCCGCACAAGCGGUGGAGCAUGUGGUUUAAUUCGAAGCAACGCGAAGAACCUUACCAAAUCUUGACAUCCUUUGACCCUUCUAGAGAUAGAAGUUUCCCCUUCGGGGGACAAAGUGACAGGUGGUGCAUGGUUGUCGUCAGCUCGUGUCGUGAGAUGUUGGGUUAAGUCCCGCAACGAGCGCAACCCUUAAGCUUAGUUGCCAUCAUUAAGUUGGGCACUCUAAGUGGACUGCCGGUGACAAACCGGAGGAAGGUGGGGAUGACGUCAAAUCAUCAUGCCCCUUAUGAUUUGGGCUACACACGUGCUACAAUGGACAAUACAAAGGGCAGCGAAACCGCGAGGUCAAGCAAAUCCCAUAAAGUUGUUCUCAGUUCGGAUUGUAGUCUGCAACUCGACUACAUGAAGCUGGAAUCGCUAGUAAUCGUAGAUCAGCAUGCUACGGUGAAUACGUUCCCGGGUCU